rnacentral:rRNA from 1 species
GAUGAACGCUGGCGGCGUGCUUAACACAUGCAAGUCGAACGAUGAAGCCCAGCUUGCUGGGUGGAUUAGUGGCGAACGGGUGAGUAACACGUGAGUAACCUGCCCUUAACUCUGGGAUAAGCCUGGGAAACUGGGUCUAAUACCGGAUAGGAGCGCCUACCGCAUGGGGGGUGUUGGAAAGAUUUAUCGGGUUUGGAUGGACUCGCGGCCUAUCAGCUUGUUGGUGAGGUAAUGGCUCACCAAGGCGACGACGGGUAGCCGGCCUGAGAGGGUGACCGGCCACACUGGGACUGAGACACGGCCCAGACUCCUACGGGAGGCAGCAGUGGGGAAUAUUGCACAAUGGGCGGAAGCCUGAUGCAGCGACGCCGCGUGAGGGAUGACGGCCUUCGGGUUGUAAACCGCUUUCAGUAGGGAAGAAGCGAAAGUGACGGUACCUGCAGAAGAAGCACCGGCUAACUACGUG